rnacentral:rRNA from 1 species
UACGUAGGCAGCGAGCGUUGUUCGGAAUUACUGGGCGUAAAGAGCGCGUAGGCGGCUCGAUAAGUUCUGUGUGAAAGCCCCCGGCUCAACUGGGGAGGGUCGCGGAAAACUGUCGGGCUGGAGUGUCGGAGAGGGAAGUGGAAGUCCCGGAGUAGGGGUGAAAUCCGUAGAGACCGGGCCGAACACCAGUGGCGAAGGCGACUUCCUGGUCCAGCACCGACGUUCAGGCACGAAAGCGUGGGGAGCAAACAGG